rnacentral:lncRNA from 1 species
AAAAAUGCAUUGUAGCAAAGGGGAAAAAUAAUUGUGGUAUAAGGCCAGAAACACGAAAAAAAAUGAAUUUAACAAAAAGGAAACACAUAACGGACUUUGGAAAAAAGGAAGAGGGCUUUUGAUACCUUAUAUGAAAUUCUCCAGUCAUAAUAUCUUUUACAAAAACUCAUCCUACAACAGUUUACAAGCUAUUUAUGCCCGCGAUUUCGCG